rnacentral:tRNA from 5 species
GCGGUCGUGGCGGAAUGGUAGACGCGCAAGCUUGAGGUGCUUGUGGGGGAAUACCCCGUGGAAGUUCGAGUCUUCUCGACCGCACCA